rnacentral:rRNA from 1 species
GACGGGGGGGGGCAAGUGUUCUUCGGAAUGACUGGGCGUAAAGGGCACGUAGGCGGUGAAUCGGGUUGAAAGUGAAAGUCGCCAAAAAGUGGCGGAAUGCUCUCGAAACCAAUUCACUUGAGUGAGACAGAGGAGAGUGGAAUUUCGUGUGUAGGGGUGAAAUCCGUAAAUAUACGAAGGAACGCCAAAAGCGAAGGCAGCUCU